GUCUGAGUUGUGCGACGAUCGCGAGGGCCGACACAGCGCUCGCCAUCUUGGUGAGUGUGCCCUCUUUGUUUCUUCGCCCCUAGUUUUCCUGGCAGGAGCCUACAGGGAAUAAAGACCCAACGAGGAAGGUGAGAGACAAAAUGUGUGAUAUGUGAUCCUAAACAUUGGCUUUCUGUUGGACUUGGCGUUGCGUGUCACUCACAGGUUCCCAGGCGCUCCUCCAGGAACCCGACCUGCUCGCUGAGGGAGUCGAUGCGGUCCAGCUGCUGGAAGGAGUGCGACAACAGGGUGGUUUCAGACACACCCUCGUCCAGCGACAGCGGGAAGACGCUGCCGUACGGCGCCAGCGCCAACUGCAGCUUCUGCAUGGACGGAACGGAAGUGAUUGAAAAAGAUCUUCUGUGUGACUUCAUGAGGAGAGAGUGACGGGUACUGUAAAAGUUAUAUCUUCAGCUUUUCUUUGUGGUUCUUUAGAAGAAGUAGUCUGUGAUCAAACAAUUGACAAGGUUUUCAAAUUAUAUUAAAAAAUAACAGCGCUCGACAUUUAACAUUACUUUUACUUUGUUUUGCUGGUAAAGAAAAUAAACAAGCCUCAAAACCAUCAUUUAACAAAAUAAGAACCAAUAAACAUGUACCUUGCCAUUUAAUAUAGAAAAUGGGGGGGAACAACCGCUGGUGGCAGUGAUGUUGCAGUGUCCCGGUGAGGUGGUGACGUGUGCUAUGUUUGACUCUAGUUUGAUUGCUUAUGUUUUGUUGGAACCAGAAAUGCGUGUUAUGGAUGUAAAAAGAGACAGGGAGACACAGAGUGCCACCCUCGAUGGGCUGUCGGGUUGAUAGCCUGUUAAGCGGAACCGGAGUUGUAUGCAUUGCAGCCGAUGACGGAGCCACUCCCAUCACAUUUACAUACCUAUGAAAUGACGACGGUCUUUAAGCUGUAAAAUUCGAAGGUUACAAUGCAUUGCGCGAUCACGUGCAAGCAUCGCAAGAUUUUGUGUCUGUUUUCGUGGUCCGAGAUGGCGGCGUAAACAAACAAUGUUUUGGCCGCUGAAUAAGUGGGCGAACCCAAGCCAAGGCAAAAUUUGGGUUGUUAAACGAAAAAUGUGCUAACCAAGGCGGACAUUAACCAAGGUACCACCGUACGCAGACUCUGUAUUGCAGUUGCCGCACCCUCUAGAAAGUGAAAGUUACGUUUGUGUGAAGGCGAAAGUUAAACUUAUGUAAGAGAGUGAGCACACAAUGCAUCUUUGGUGUGUCUGACUCUUCUGGUAUUUUUCCAUCAGUGAUACGUAAGUGUUGCGCAACUGUGAUUGUGCUAUGUGAGUGUGUGUCAAUAAGGCCUUCUAUGAGAAGCUAAUAAAUAGACAGAGUUAAUGGUGUACACUAGGUCCCCAACUUACGAACACCCGACUAGCGAACACUCGCGGAUACGAACACAAGCCAACUGGUCAAUAUUUUAUUUUAUUUUGCCUUGUAGUCGCUCAAUCAGUAUUUAUACUGCUACUGUACAUGCUUGACCAGUAGAGGGCACUGUGACACUGCUAAUGCAGCCUUAGAGCUAAUGAGACCAACAUAGGAAGAGUUAGACGCUGGGGAGAUACAGUGUAAAGCUAAAUGGAAAGCUAAAUUGUACAACCCAGACAGAGCGUGUUAUUAAAGUUUAUGAAGAGUUAAUAGGCCUGCUUAAUUCUACACCACCCACAGAACACUACCUCUUUUAGAAGAGUCUAACAAUGACGACGACGACUUGUCCUUUUUUUCAAUAUCUCCUCCUCCAACUCUUCCACGACGACGUAUACUCGGCGACUCCUCUUCAAAGGUAAAUAACAUUUAUCAUUACGUAUUAUUAUAGCACUUUUAUUAUUGUUUUUUUCAUUCAUUAUCCUGGUUUAAUAUUACUACUGCAUCCAAACUCAUAUUUACAUACAUACACAUAUACUGUAUAUGUAUACACGUACAUGUAGUACCUAUAUCAUCGCUAAUAUUACCUUUUCCCAUACUUAAGAGCAAUUCAACAUAAGAACGGUCGUCUGGAAUUAAUUGUGUUCGUUGGUUGGGGACUUAGUGUACUUAUAAUAUCUAACAAUACCUUUUCCAGAAGCUCCACCCUGCUCCUCAGGCUCUGCACCUCCUCCGACACAUUCCCCGGAAUGCGGAAUCGUUCACCUGCAGCAAAAGAAGACAUCAGGGGGUGCUCUGGAAGGGUGGCAUAUGUAAAGUUGCACAUCUUUGUAGGAACUGCAUGGAGGCCAAGAGAAUGUAGAGCGCAGGGGCGGGGGGCCAUCAUGGAUAUGGGAAUCUGGGAGAGAGGUCACUAAAAAUAGACCACUCAUUCACACGGAGCUUGCAUAAGGAGGCAGUGCCUCGAUCGUUCCCAGAUGUGGUCCAUUGUCGGCCAAGAGACUGUCCUCCGGUCAACGUGGCUGUGACGUUUGCGUAACAGCAGAAUGCAGUCUCUACUGACCAUUUAGUUUUUGCAGAGGAGCGCUCCAGGAAGCUGAGAGGUUCUGCAGAGCCGCCAUUUGAUGUGACGGCAUUUCUAACGCUUGAAAAGAAGUCCCCAGCGGUCAAGAGUGGGAAUGAGACCACAUGCCACCUUUCGAGAUGAGCAGGAGGGUGUUUGUUGUUGUUGCUAGGUAACAGGACAAGCACACGCCAACACUCCCUCAGCGCUGUGUGGUCAGCGUCCAGCAGAAGAUGCCAGUCGCAGUGCAUUAUUACUCACGAAAAACAAAACAAUGUACCUAUCUCCAGUGCACUCACCUGAAGUCGAAACAUCACCGGGGUCCUGGGAGGCGGGGCCCAGGCGGUAACAGGAGCGUCCGUCUCCGGACAGGCUGAACCUGUCCCUGCAGGCGCAUCGGAAGCUUCCGGCUGUGUUGAUGCACUGGUGGAAAGGGGGUUCUACCUAUCUGGCAUUGGUGUCCCGUCCAUCCUGGUGGACAAGCACACUGGUUGGGUGUCAUGCAUGUGCCCCCGUUCACACAGGUGUGAUCACACACAGCUGCAAGACACAUUAAAAAGGAAUGAUUACAUAAACCAAUUGGAUUGUUCUCAAACAUUACAUCUCUUAAAGCAGACUUUUCCAACCGUUUCAGUCACAAAUCUAAUUAUAAUGGACAAUUUUGCAAAAUGUAACAUUUUUAAAAUACAGUAAUACCAGUUGUUCUCAAAUCAUGUCAAUCCAAUUCAUCUGUUCCAGACACCCGAAUAUAUAAACAAAAAAUACGUUUUAUUGAGAAUAAUUAGUUUGACAUGCAGAAAACAAAGCAAAUUACAGUCAUCCUUCACUAUAUCACGUUUUUUUCCGAAAAGAAUUCAUAAA